GAUGAAGAACGUAGCAAAAUGCGAUAAGUAAUGUGAAUUGCAGAAUUCAGUGAAUCAUCGAAUCUUUGAACGCACAUUGCGCCCGCCAGUAUUCUGGCGGGCAUGCCUGUUCGAGCGUCAUUUCAACCCUCAAGCCCUCGGGUUUGGUGUUGGGGAUCGGCGAGCCUUUCUGGCAAGCCGGCCCCGAAAUCUAGUGGCGGUCUCGCUGCAGCCUCCAUUGCGUAGUAGUAAAACCCUCGCAACUGGAACGCGGCGUGGCCAAGCCGUUAAACCCCCAACUUCUGAAUGUUGACCUCGGAUCAGGUAGGAAUACCCGCUGAACUUAAGCAUAUCAAUAAGCGGAGGA
rnacentral:misc_RNA from 1 species